AUUGAACGCUGGCGGCGUGCCUAACACAUGCAAGUCGAGCGGUAACAGGUGUAGCAAUACAUGCUGACGAGCGGCGAACGGGUGAGUAAUGCUUCGGAAUCUACCUUAUGGUGGGGAAUAACUAGCCGAAAGGUUAGCUAAUACCGCAUACGUCCUACGGGAGAAAGCAGGGGAUCGCAAGACCUUGCGCCAAAAGAUGAGCCGAAGUCGGAUUAGCUAGUUGGUAGGGUAACGGCCUACCAAGGCGACGAUCCGGAGCUGGUCUGAGAGGACGACCAGCCACACUGGGACUGAGACACGGCCCAGACUCCGACGGGAGGCAGCAGUGGGGAAUAUUGGACAAUGGGGGAAACCCUGAUCCAGCGACGCCGCGUGUGUGAAGAAGGCCUGCGGGUUGUAAAGCACUUUUAGUGGGGAUGAAAUGUGCAGGGUUAAUACCUCUGCAUUUUGACCUAACCCACAGAAAAAGCACCGGCUAACUCUGUGCCAGCCGCCGCCGUAA
rnacentral:rRNA from 1 species